CACUUGUUCUUUAAAUCAGGACUAGUAUGAACGGCCUCACGAGGGCUGUACUGUCUCCCCCCCUUAAUCAGUAAAACUGAUCUCCCCGUGAAGAAGCRGGGAUACACAUAUAAGACGAGAAGACCCCAUGGAGCUUCAAACUCACACCACCGCCUUCCCCACACCAAAAUACUUAGGCCCCCUGGUAGUYAGUCUUUCGGCUGGGGCGACCGCGGAGAAAAACAAAACCUCCMUGAUGAAAGGACACCCUAAUUUAANNNNCACUGCUCCAAAAAUCAACAAAUUGACGUAAUUGACCCAAUAUUUGAUCAACGAACCAAGUUACCCUGGGGAUAACAGCGCAAUCCACUUCGAGAGACCCUAUCAACAAGUGGGCUUACGACCUCGAUGUUGGAUCAGGGU
rnacentral:rRNA from 1 species